UUUAAGUUCUUUGUCAAAGCCCCUCGCAUAGCCCAAGGGUUUCCAUUGUUUCCUAAUCGACAAACCCACCUGGCUUCCCGCAGGCCGUGGAGAAGACUGUUCUUCCGAAUCUACCUAAUUCUCAGAGCGGAAAGUCAGCAAGUGCAAGGUCAGUCUUGCGAGCAGCCUUUCUCCGACGGAGAAAAGGCAGGCGCCCAAGGGGCCGAGUGCGGCCUCCACCGUAGGGUCCGCAGAGGAACCAUUAACCAAGAAAUUACUAGCAACUGGACGGCCCCCCGCAGGACCACCAGCCGCCAGCAGCGAGCAGGGCAGGGAGGCAUAAGGCCAUGCGAAGGAGCGUACGCUGACCAGCAAAGAUGGCCACUUUCACGUGGCUAUGGGCUACUGGCUCCCUGUCACCCGGGCAUCCCAAGGCCGGGCGGCCGGAAAGACCCUCGGGUAGAACGAGAGGACAAAACACCCGCCGAUUCCCGCCACCACCGCUGGGGGGACGCGACCUCGCGGCCGGAGAGCCCGGGCCAACGGUCGGAAGGGAGGUGCCAAGUCACAGCACGGGGGGAGCAGGCCCGUAAAGCCCUCGUCGGUCUUCCUCCCACAUCGAACAGGGAAACGUGAGAUGACCCAAUACACUCGUCUUUCUCCUCACCCCUUGUUAUCAGUGCCUAAGACGGCGAAAUAUCUGUACGAGGGGCGCGUUAUCUCCGCUCCCUUCCCCUGCCUGGCAGAGUGGUUUGGCCCGAGCUCCCCUCGGCGCACCGCCCCUUUCCCCCUCCC
rnacentral:lncRNA from 1 species